rnacentral:lncRNA from 1 species
GGUGGCAGAGCCCAGCCACCAGGGUCUGCUCCAUGCCUGGUCCCUGGAGAGGCCCUCACCCUCUCUGCUUUCACCCAACCCGACUGACACGGAGUAGGAGGUGGGAAUCAUGCAGGCAGGGAGCUUAGGAAGCCUGGUUCAAGAUUGCUUUGAAUGGCAGGCCCCCUGCUGUGCUCCUGGGGAGAGAGCCUGAAACCUGGAUGCUCGGGAGCCCCUCAGAUCCGUCAUCUGUCCCCGACACCCCUGUGAUCCUGAAACUGAGGCUCAGAGAGCAGAAGCAGCUUGGCCAAAGUCAUACAACUGGUAGUUGGUAAAGGAGCUGGCCUUGAACUCAGGGAUAUCUUGAAAGCCACUGUUGCUUCUAUGGACUCUAGCCAUUCAAAAGACCCCUCACCUUCUAUAAGACCCCAGGAGAUCCUCAGGGUCCAACUGCUCCCUUGAAAACAGGUCCCAGAUAUAUCUGCCAAAGGUAUGAUUAGGUGCCUAAACACAUACCAUGAGAAAGGGAUUCCAUGUCUUCCAAUCCUGCCCAGAGAUGCAGAGACACCACCACCCAGGGAGAGAUAGCCAGAAACUAAAAUAAGAUGUUAGAGACAGGUGGUUGAUAGUGACAGAUACAGCCACACCAAGACAGGCUCAAAGGGAGGAAGACUGAGGGGAAGCCAGAGACAGAGAGGGACACAUUAGGCCAAAGAAUGAGAGAGAUAGCUGGAAAAGGAGACA